AGGACGAACGCUGGCGGCGUGCUUAACACAUGCAAGUCGAGCGGAAAGGCCCUUCGGGGUACUCGAGCGGCGAACGGGUGAGUAACACGUGAGCAAUCUGCCCUUAGCUUCGGGAUAGCCCCGGGAAACCGGGAUUAAUACCGAAUACGACCUCGGCCGACAUCGGCUUUGGUGGAAAGUUUUUCGGCUAGGGAUGAACUCGCGGCCUAUCAGCUUGUUGGUGGGGUAAUGGCCUACCAAGGCGACGACGGGUAGCCGGCCUGAGAGGGCGACCGGCCACACUGGGACUGAGACACGGCCCAGACUCCUACGGGAGGCAGCAGUGGGGAAUAUUGCGCAAUGGGCGAAAGCCUGACGCAGCGACGCCGCGUGGGGGAUGAAGGCCUUCGGGUUGUAAACCCCUUUCAGCAGGGACGAAGCGAGAGUGACGGUACCUGCAGAAGAAGCGCCGGCUAACUACGUGCCAGCAGCCGC
rnacentral:rRNA from 1 species